GACGAACGCUGGCGGCGUGCUUAACACAUGCAAGUCGAACGGAAACGCCCUACUUUUGUGGGGUGCUCGAGUGGCGAACGCGUGAGUAACACGUGUGUAACCUGCCCUUGUCUUUGGGAUAACUUCACGUAACUGGGGCUAAUAUCGGAUAGGAGCCCCUGCUGCAUGGUGGGCGUUGGAAAGUUUCGGCGGUUGGGGAUGGACUCGCGGCUUAUCAGCUUGUUGGUGGGGUAGUGGCUUACCCAGGCUUUGACGGGUAGGCGGCCUGGGAGAGUGACCGGGCACCAGAGGACUGAGAGACGGCCCAGACGGGUAUGGGAGGCAGUAGGGGGGAACAUUGCACAAUGAGAGGGAGUCUGAUGAAGAGGCGCCGCGUGCGGGAUGACGGCCUGCGGGUUGUAAACAGCUUUCGCCUGUGACGAAGCGGGAGUGACGGUACUGAGUAAAGAAGCACCGGCUAACUACGUG
rnacentral:rRNA from 1 species